rnacentral:rRNA from 1 species
UGGGGAAUUUUGCGCAAUGGGGGAAACCCUGACGCAGCGACGCCGCGUGAGUGACGAAGUCUUUCGGGAUGUAAAACUCUGUCAAAGGGAACGAUUAUGACGGUACCCUUAAAGGAAGCCCCGGCUAACUACGUGCCAGCAGCCGCGGUAAUACGUAGGGGGCUAGCGUUACCCGGAUUUACUGGGCAUAAAGGGCGCGUAGGCGGCUUUUUAAGUCAGAUGUUAAAUGCUGAAGCUCAACUUCAGUAUGCAUUUGAAACUGAAUUGCUAGAGAUCAGGAAAGGUAAGCGGAACUCAUAGUGUAGCGGUGAAAUGCGUAGAUAUUAUGAGGAACACCAGUUGCGAAGGCGGCUUACUGGCCUGUUUCUGACGCUGAGGCGCGAAAGCGUGGGGAGCAAACAGG